GAUGAACGCUGGCGGCGUGCUUAACACAUGCAAGUCGAACGAAGAUGAUUAGAAUGAGAGCUUCGGCAGGAUUUCUUUUCAUCUUAGUGGCGGACGGGUGAGUAACGUGUGGGCAACCUGCCCUAUACUGGGGAAUAAUCACUGGAAACGGUGACUAAUACCGCAUGUCAUCGCGGAAGGGCAUCCUUCUGUGAGAAAGGAGCAAUUCGGUAUAGGAUGGGGCCCGCAUCUGAUUAGCUAGUUGGUGAGAUAACAGCCCACCAAGGCGACGAUCAGUAGCCGACCUGAGAGGGU
rnacentral:rRNA from 1 species